AGUCGACGAGUUCUGAUUAUUGAAAGGUGCUUGCAUCUUGAUUUAAUUUUGAACGAGUGGCGGACGGGUGAGUAACACGUGGGUAACCUGCCCUUAAGUGGGGGAUAACAUUUGGAAACAGAUGCUAAUACCGCAUAAAUCCAAGAACCGCAUGGUUCUUGGCUGAAAGAUGGCGUAAGCUAUCGCUUUUGGAUGGACCCGCGGCGUAUUAGCUAGUUGGUGAGGUAACGGCUCACCAAGGCAAUGAUACGUAGCCCAACUGAGAGGUUGAUCGGCCACAUUGGGACUGAGACACGGCCCAAACUCCUACGGGAGGCAGCAGUAGGGAAUCUUCCACAAUGGACGCAAGUCUGAUGGAGCAACGCCGCGUGAGUGAAGAAGGCUUUCGGGUCGUAAAACUCUGUUGUUGGAGAAGAAUGGUCCGCAGAAUAACUGUUGUCGGCGUGACGGUAUCCAACCAGAAAGCCACGGCUAACUACGUGCCAGCAGCCGCGGUAAUACGUAGGUGGCAAGCGUUAUCCGGAUUUAUUGGGCGUAAAGCGAGCGCAGGCGGUUUUUUAAGUCUGAUGUGAAAGCCCUCGGCUUAACCGAGGAAGUGCAUCGGAAACUGGGAAACUUGAGUGCAGAAGAGGACAGUGGAACUCCAUGUGUAGCGGUGAAAUGCGUAGAUAUAUGGA
rnacentral:rRNA from 1 species